rnacentral:rRNA from 1 species
UGGGGAAUCUUGGACAAUGGGGGUAACCCUGAUCCAGCCAUGCCGCGUGAGUGAUGAAGGCCUUAGGGUCGUAAAGCUCUUUCGCCUGUGAAGAUAAUGACGGUAGCAGGUAAAGAAACCCCGGCUAACUCCGUGCCAGCAGCCGCGGUAAUACGGAGGGGGUUAGCGUUGUUCGGAAUUACUGGGCGUAAAGCGCACGUAGGCGGACCAGAAAGUUGGGGGUGAAAUCCCGGGGGCUCAACCCCGGAACUGCCUCCAAAACUAUCGGUCUAGAGUUCGAGAGAGGUGAGUGGAAUUCCGAGUGUAGAGGUGAAAUUCGUAGAUAUUCGGAGGAACACCAGUGGCGAAGGCGGCUCACUGGCUCGAUACUGACGCUGAGGUGCG